GGAACUUCAAUGUUGAAAGAUUUUUUGUUUUUUCUAAAAACACCUAAUCUAGGCAAAAAUAAUGGGGGGUUUAGUUACAUUAUAUGAUCAUACAUUGCAUAAGCCUGCCACAACGUCAAUGUACCCCAUCUUUGGCAGGUCCUACACUAACAGCCUAAUGUCUGCUCUUAUGAGAUUAACCUACUUGGGGAAAGAAAUUCCAUCUGGGGCUCUCUGCAGUACAAGGCUAAAUAGGGCCCUGGGAUGAGGCACCUGUGACAGGGAGGGGUCCAAAACCAAGGAGUUGGCUAGACUCCCAAAUAUAUACAUAUGAAACAAGGGGGGGUUGGCUGCACUCACCUUAACAUGCAUAAAUGGCCCCUAGCAGCACCCCCAUUUAUGCAUGUUAAGGUGAGGGCAGCCAACCCCCUCUUGUUUUAUUUAUUUAUACUCUCAUGCAAUGCUAAGAUAAAUCUAUAGCGUGCUUUUAUCAAUAACCAUGGAAUAAGGAAACAUCUCUAAUAGAAAAUGCUGCUGUAACUAUCCUAGUCUAACUACAAUAAAUCAUUCCCAUCCAUCAUUGUUCAAGUAAUAACAUUAAUUUAGCUGUGUACCUGUCUUGCCCAACACACCUUUAAAGAGCUGGCAAUGAAACCUCUGCUAUAGACUUUAUUUCAUAGAUGCCUAUUAAAAUAAAAAAAUAAAAACUUGUAGUAAAAGUGAAUUGCUGAUCUGGAUCUUGGACGAGGUGGCUCAGAGAGAGGGAGGAGAAGGGGCUGGUGACAAAUGUAAG